rnacentral:rRNA from 1 species
UGGGGAAUAUUGGACAAUGGGGGCAACCCUGAUCCAGCAAUGCCGCGUGUGUGAAGAAGGUUUUCGGAUUGUAAAGCACUUUCGGCGGGGACGAUGAUGACGGUACCCGCAGAAGAAGCCCCGGCUAACUUCGUGCCAGCAGCCGCGGUAAUACGAAGGGGGCUAGCGUUGCUCGGAAUGACUGGGCGUAAAGGGCGUGUAGGCGGUUUGUACAGUCAGAUGUGAAAUCCCCGGGCUUAACCUGGGAGCUGCAUUUGAUACGUGUAGACUAGAGUGUGAGAGAGGGUUGUGGAAUUCCCAGUGUAGAGGUGAAAUUCGUAGAUAUUGGGAAGAACACCGGUGGCGAAGGCGGCAACCUGGCUCAUAACUGACGCUGAGGCGCGAAAGCGUGGGGAGCAAACAGGAUUAGAUACCCUGGUAGUCCACGCUGUAAACGAUGUGUGCUAGAUGUUGGGUAACUUAGUUAUUCAGUGUCGCAGUUAACGCGUUAAGCACACCGCCUGGGGAGUACGGCCGCAAG